rnacentral:rRNA from 1 species
GAUGAACGCUGGCGGCGUGCCUAAUACAUGCAAGUCGAGCGAACAGACGAGGAGCUUGCUCCUCUGACGUUAGCGGCGGACGGGUGAGUCACGCGUGGAUAACCCACCUAUCAUACGGGGAUCACUUCGGGAAACCGGAGCUAAUCCCGUAUAAUCUAUUGAACCGCAUGGGUGGAUAGUGAAAGACGGUUUUGCUGUAACUUAUAGCUGGAUCCGAGCCGGAUUAGCUAGUUGGUAAGGUAAAGGCUUACCAAGGCUACGAUGCGUGGCCGACCUGAUAGGCUGAUCGGCCACACUGGAACUGAGACACGGUCCAGACGCCUACGGGAGGCAGCAGUAGGGAAUCUUCCGCAAUGGGCGAAAGCUUGACGGAGCAACGCCGCGUGAGUGAUGAAGGUCUUCGGAUCGUAAAACUCUGUUAUGAGGGAAGAACAAAUGUGUAAGUAACUAUGCACGUCUUGACGGUACCUAAUCAGAAAGCCACGGCUAACUACGUG